UACGGAGGGUGCAAGCGUUGUCCGGAUUUACUGGGUUUAAAGGGUGCGUAGGUGGGAAGGUAAGUCAGUGGUGAAAUCCCCGAGCUUAACUUGGGAACUGCCAUUGAUACUAUCUUUCUUGAAUACCUUGGAGGUGAGCGGAAUAUGUCAUGUAGCGGUGAAAUGCUUAGAUAUGACAUAGAACACCAAUUGCGAAGGCAGCUCACUACACGGUCAUUGACACUGAGGCACGAAAGCGUGGGGAUCAAACAGG
rnacentral:rRNA from 1 species